rnacentral:rRNA from 1 species
AGCGUAGGCGGACAUUUAAGUCAGGGGUGAAAUCCCGGGGCUCAACCUCGGAAUUGCCUUUGAUACUGGGUGUCUUGAGUAUGAGAGAGGUGUGUGGAACUCCGAGUGUAGAGGUGAAAUUCGUAGAUAUUCGGAAGAACACCAGUGGCGAAGGCGACACACUGGCUCAUUACUGACGUUGAGGCUCGAAAGCGUGGGGAGCAAACA